rnacentral:rRNA from 1 species
GUUCGAGCUACAAAAGGCUCCACCGGCCGGCAUACCUUGGGCUGCACACCAAGGCGAUGAAGAGACGGUGGGUUACUUGCGGAUAGAUCUCGGACUGAGACCAGCCUUUGAUCUGGAAUUU